AUGGUGACAUUUGGUUCAAGUUGGAUUCCUGGAUUCCUGGGACAGACAGUUGGAAUUAUCACAAUGCAGGGUUCUGAUAACCACACAGCUCAGCUCAUAGGGCUAUGCCUUCUCAGCCAGCCCAGCACAGUGGGAGCAGGAGCUGUUGGCUGCCUCCUGCGUGGGGCCCACUCUGCCUUCCCCCUGCUAACUCUGCCCCCUUGCCCGGUAGCUCAUCUACGAUGCUGGUGCCUCCUUUGUUGUCAUCCUCGUAGUCUGGGCUGGCUGUUCUGGACUCGUUUUCCUCAACUGUUUCUUCAACUGGCCGCUAGAGCCCUUCCCAGGGCCAGAGGACAUGGACUACUCGGUGAAGAUCAAAUUCAGCUGGCUGGGCUUUGACCACAAGAUCACAGGGAAGCAGUUCUACAAGCAGGUGACCACAGUGGGGCGCCGCCUGAGCGUGGGGAGCUCCAUGAGGACUGCCAAAGAGCAAACUGCACUGCAGGAGGGCCACAAGCUGUGCCUGUCCACUGUUGACCUGGAGGUGAAGUGCCAGCCUGAUGUUGCAGGUACCCGACAUGUGCCCUUGCCUUCCAAAUUGGCUUGAGAGGUCUGGAGGGAU
rnacentral:lncRNA from 1 species